AUGGAGGGGUCGAGCCACUCGUACCAGCGGGCCUUGCACUGCUUGGCGGACUUGCGGACGAGCAGCGAGGAGAUGCGAGCCCACUGGUUCUUGCCGUACUUCAUGACGGCCGCCUUGAGGAUCUCAUCCUCGGUGUUCUUCCACACCCCGCCCUUGAUCAUGAUCCUCAUCUUGCCUCCCCCCCUCGCCGCCUCGCCCGGCCUCCUAGAUCUCUUCUCCUCCGCAGAGGGCCCCCGGGGUUCCGCUUCCGCCGCGCCCCCCGCCGGGCGGCUCCGGCGAGACCUCCUGGUCCCACCUAGGGUUUGA
rnacentral:rRNA from 1 species